CCUACGGGAGGCAGCAGUAGGGAAUUUUCGGCAAUGGGGGGAACCCUGACCGAGCAACGCCGCGUGAACGAAGAAGUUAUUCGUAAUGUAAAGUUCUUUUAACAGGGAAGAAAGAGAAAUUUGACGGUACCUGAAGAAUAAGCCCCGGCGGACGACGUGCCAGCAGCCGCGGGAAUACGUAGGGAGCGAGCGUUAUCCGGAAUUAUUGGGCGUACAGGGUGCGUAGAUGGCAUAGUAAGUCUUUUGUAAAAAUGCUGGGCUCACCCCAGUAGGGCAAAAGAUACUGCAAAGCUAGAGUAUGACAGCGCCAAGUGGCACUCCAUGUGUAGCGGUAAAAUGCGUAAAUAUAUGUAAGAACACCCGUGGCGAAGGCGGCUUGCUGGGUCGAUACUGACAUUGCGGCCCGAAAGCGUGGGGAGCAAACAGGAUUAGAUACCCUGGUAGUC
rnacentral:rRNA from 1 species